CAGUCGCCGCGGUAAUACGGAGGGAGCUAGCGUUGUUCGGAAUUACUGGGCGUAAAGCGCGCGUAGGCGGUUAUAUAAGUCAGAUGUGAAAUCCCCGGGCUCAACCUGGGAACUGCAUUUGAGACUGUAUGGCUAGAGUGUGUCAGAGGGGGGUAGAAUUCCACGUGUAGCAGUGAAAUGCGUAGAUAUGUGGAGGAAUACCGAUGGCGAAGGCAGCCCCCUGGGAUAACACUGACGCUCAUGCACGAAAGCGUGGGGAGCAAACAGGAUUAGAUACCCCUGUAGUCCCUGUCUCUUAUAC
rnacentral:rRNA from 1 species